GAUGAACGCUGGCGGCGUGCCUAAUACAUGCAAGUCGAGCGAAUGGAUUGAGAGCUUGCUCUUAUGAAGUUAGCGGCGGACGGGUGAGUAACACGUGGGUAACCUGCCCAUAAGACUGGGAUAACUCCGGGAAACCGGGGCUAAUACCGGAUAACAUUUUGAACCGCAUGGUUCGAAAUUGAAAGGCGGCUUCGGCGGUCACUUAUGGAUGGACCCGGGUCGCAUUAGCUAGUUGGUGAGGUAACGGCUCCCAAGGCAACGAUGCGUAGCCGACCUGAGAGGGUGAUCGGCCACACUGGGACUGAGACACGGCCCAGACUCCUACGGGAGGCAGCAGUAGGGAAUCUUCCGCAAUGGACGAAAGUCUGACGGAGCAACGCCGCGUGAGUGAUGAAGGCUUUCGGGUCGUAAAACUCUGUUGUUAGGGAAGAACAAGUGCUAGUUGAAUAAGCUGGCACCUUGACGGUACCUAACCAGAAAGCCACGGCUAACUACGUGCCAGCCGCCGCAGUAA
rnacentral:rRNA from 1 species